GAAUGCAGAAGAUGACAUUCAGUCAACUUCUGCUAACAUUAGAUUUAUGAUUCUUUUUUUUUCACCAGGUCCCAAGCCAGUCAAAACACCCGAACAGAUUAUCAAGCUACUUCUGGAUGUGUUCUGAGAACAUCAGACACAACGCUGCAGAAGAUACAACAUGUUUUACCAGAGCCACAGUCCAGAUGUUGUAAGGAGAGGGAAUGUGAUGGAGUAUUACAGCAAUGGAUUUUGCAGAGGGAGCAUUGAAGAGAGGACACUCAAGGUCACCGUGCUUGGCUAUAAAGUUAUGGAGGAAAAGACAAAGUUUACAGUUUACAAGAUCUUACUGAAGCGUGCACCAGAUGAGAGUUGACA